rnacentral:piRNA from 1 species
UAACUACAUGGUCCCCGAGAGUAAAGCGGUCU